rnacentral:rRNA from 1 species
UACGGGAGUGGCAAGCGUUAUCCGGAAUUAUUGGCCGUAAAGAGUCCGCAGGCGGACUUGUAAGUCUGUAGUUAAAGAGUGCAGCUUAACUCCAUUUCAGCAAUGGAAACUGUAAGACUAGAGUGUGGUAGGGGCAGAGGGAAUUCCCGGUGUAGCGGAGAAAUGCGUAGAUAUCGGGAAGAACACCAGUGGCGAAGGCGCUCUGCUGGCUCAUAACUGACGCUCAUGGACGAAAGCCAGGGGAGCGAAAGGGAUUAGAUACCCCUGUAGUCCUGGCCGUAAACGAUGAACACUAGGUGUCGGGGGAAUCGACCCCCUCGGUGUCGUAGCCAACGCGUUAAGUGUUCCGCCUGGGGAGUACGCACGCAAGUGUGAAACUCAAAGGAAUUGACGGGGGCCCGCACAAGCGGUGGAGUAUGUGGUUUAAUUCGAUGCAACGCGAAGAACCUUACCAGGGUUUGACAUCCUGCGAAUCUUUUGGAAACGAGAGAGUGCCUUCGGGAACGCAGUGACAGGUGGCGCAUGGCAGUCGUCAGCUCGUGUCGUGAGAUGUUGGGUUAAGUCCCGCAACGAGCGCAACCCACGUCGUUAGUUGCCAGCAUUUAGUUGGGCACUCUACCGAGACUCGCCGGUGAUAAUCCGGAGGAAGGCGUGGAUGACGUCAAGUCAUCAUGCCCCUUACAUCCUGGGCUACACACGUACUACAAUGCUACGGACAAAGGGCAGCAAACUCCCGAGAGCUAGCAAAUUCCCUAAACCGUGGCUCAGUUCAGAUCGUAGGCUGCAACUCGCCUACGUGAAGGAGGAAUCGCUAGUAAUCGCAGGUCAGCAUUCUGCGGUGAAUACGUCUCCCGGGCC